GACGAACGCUGGCGGCGUGCUUAACACAUGCAAGUCGAACGGAAAGGCCUUUUCGUAGGUACUCGAGUGACUAACGGGUGAGUAACACGUGGGUGAUCUGCCUUGCACUCUGUUAUAAGCCUGGGAAACUGGGUCUAAUACCUGAUAGGACCGCACUUUUGUUUGUGUGGGGGAAAGUUUUUUCGGUGUAGCAUGAGACCGCGGUCUAUCAGGUCGUUGGUGGGGUAAUGGCCUACCAAGGCGGCGACGGGUAGCCGGACUGCGAGGUUUGUGGGACACAUUGGGGCUGAGAUACGGGACGGGAUCCUACGGGGGGCAGCAGUGGGGAAUAUGGCACAACGGGAGGAAGCGUGAUGGAGCGAGGCAGCGUGGGGGAUGACGGCCUUCGGGUUGUCAACUACUUUCGCCAGGGAAGAAGCGUUGUGUGACGGUAACUGGAGAAGAAGCACCGGCUAACUACGUG
rnacentral:rRNA from 1 species